rnacentral:rRNA from 1 species
UUAUUGGGCGUAAAGUGUGUUUCGGUGGUUUAAAAAGAUUUAUAUUAAAUGUUUGGGUUCAACUCAAAAAAUGUAUAAAUUACUAUUAGACUUGAGUUUAAUAUAAGAAAAUAGAAUUUUGUGUGUAGCGGUGAAAUGUGCAGAUAUACAAAGGAAUGCCGAAGGCGAAAGCAAUUUUCUUGAUUAUAACUGACACUUAUACACGAAAGCGUGGGUAGCAAACAGGAUUAGAUACCCUGGUAGUCCACGCCCUAAACUAUGUCGAUUAGCUGUUUUUUAGUAGCGUAGCUAACGCGUUAAAUCGACCGCCUGGGGACUACGAUCGCAAGAUUAAAACUCAAAGGAAUUGACGGGGACCAGCACAAGCGGUGGAUGAUGUGGAUUAAUUCGAUGAUACACGAAAAACCUUACCUACCCUUGACAUGAUUAGAAUUUUAUUGAAAAAUAAAAGUGCUUGAAAAAGAGCUAAUACACAGGUGCUGCAUGGCUGUUGACAGCUCGUGUCGUGAGAUGUUGGGUUAAGUCCCGCAACGAGCGCAACCCCCACUCUUAGUUGCUAAGUUUUAAGUACUUUAAGAGAACUGCCGACGAUAAGUCUAGGAGGAAGGAGGGGAAGACUUCAAGUCCUCAUGGCCCUUAUGGGUAGGGCUUCACACGUCAUACAAUGGUUGAUACAAUAAGUUGCGAAAUUGCAAAAUGGAGCCAAUCUAAAAAAUCAAUCUAAGUUCGGAUUGUACUCUGCAACUCGAGUGCAUGAAGUUGGAAUCGCUAGUAAUCGCGGAUCAGCAUGCCGCGG